rnacentral:tRNA from 1 species
ACCUGGCUGGCUCAGUUGGCAGAGCAUCCGACUCUUGGUCUCGGGACUGUGAGUUCAAGCCCCAUGUUAGGCA